ACGGUGUUUUCCGACGAUAAACAUUUUAUUAUAAUAAUAUAAAGUACACAAUGUGGGUAAGCGCAAUGCGUGUUUACGUCUCAUAUUAUACCAUAUUAUUAUAGGUACGAACACAUUUUAAAUCUGAAACAAUAACCACUGUAAAUGCGUGUCGCGUAGUCGACGGACGAAAUAUUCUGUACGGUGUACCUACUUCUGUUUAGUGAAAAUAAUUGAUUAUGAUAAUACUACUAGAUGCGAAUUAACAAUAACAUUAUAAUAUAAUAUACCGCCGCAGACGUGAAUAAACUAGACGAGUUUCUCGCGCAAUAAUUAUAAGAACACUACCUAUACGAUACAUGCGCAUUUGAUAAACGCAUAAUAUCUUUUUAUAAUUAAUUUAGUUGUGUCGCGCACUUUUUGGCUUUUCCGAUGUAUAUUAUUUAUCAACUAUAAUAUUAUAAUGCUAAGACACGUGUAAAUCAGUCAAUUGCUACUACAGGCGGGAACGGGCGGACACACGAGAGCCGGUUCGAUGGCGAAUCGCAACGGUGAGAGUUGUUGUUGUAGCGACGACGACGACGACGACGACAGCGACGACAACGACGACGACGAAGACGACAACAGCAGUGGAUCGUGUUCAAGCUGUUCCACCACAGAAGCGGACGACAACGUGAUCCGACAGCGACUGUCAUCCGGCCGGACGACCACCGCGGUCGCGGCCACGUCGUUCGAUCUCCUGGACGCCCGGCGGCUGCCGGACUUGUUGGACGCCGAGCGGCUGGUGGCCGUACUGGACGGGUGCCUGGGAUCAGAGUACGUACGCGGCUGCGUGGUCGAGACGUGGGACGCGGUACUCAGCGAACACCUGGAGGCCAUCGCGCACCUCGUGCUGUACCAGACGCCCGAGCACGCGGUCAGCCAGGCCGUGUACGAACAGCUCGCCGGGCUGUCGGCGUCACUCCGCCCGUCAACCGAUGACAGCACACAGCAACAGCGGCCGGCCCGCGUGGACGCUGAACGCGUGUACGGCACGCUCAGAUCGGCGGCCCGGUCGCUGUUGACCACCCGGGUGGACGCGUGCUGCCGGCAGAGCAUGUGCCGGGCCGUAGGGUUGGCCGUGGCCGCGCUCCGGUGCAGCACGCGGCCCGUGUUCUCGGUGGAAAAUUUCGUGGUCGAAAUCAACGAGGCGGCCAACUUCGCCAACCUGUACUGCACCGGGUACGCCAAGCGCAUAUGCGCCGCGCUCGAAGGCAUCUACGACACGGUCAUGGCCGGCGAUUAUCAUCCGACCAACGUCGUGGUCCAGAUGGCCGUCAUGGACAAGUGCAUCAAAGCGGCGCUUCGAACGCUGGCCGACGCCCGGGCCACGGCCGCGCAAAAGACGGCCGCCCAGCGGUCGCUGCUCGCCGAGCUCGACGACGUGGGCGCGACGGUGCGCAUGAAGAACUACGGAUGCGUAGACGACACGGCCGCCGACCUGCCACAGCAGCAACGCCAGCUCGCGGCGCUGGCCACCGCGUCCCCGGCCCGGUUCGUUCACUUCACCAUGAGCCCGUGGCGAGCGCCCAUCCGCAUGUACAACCAACAGUCGCCGACCACCGUGGAUCAGGUACUCAGGGCCACGGUCAGCCUGAUCGAGGCGCUUGUCGCCGAACUGUUCAAGCCAUGCCUGAACAGCCGGCACAGCGUCCGCCGCCGCCGCCGCCGCACGUGCAGCAGCCGUCAGGCGCACGACAAACAACUCUAGGACGACCCUUAUAUUUUUCGAUGUAAAUACGUCAUUUAUAUCAGAUCCCGCGCGGUCCAUAGCUUACCUAUACUUAUCACAAUACGCGAUCCACAUAUUCCGAUGAGUAGGCAAUAGAAGCCCAACUUACCAACUGCCUUUUUUCCCCGACAAAACUAACCAUGACGUCCUCAAGCUGCCAAAGAUGCUAUCAUAACCACGGCAUCGUUCACAUUAUAAAGCCACGCGCAUAUAAAUAAAUUACAUUUUCUCACAAAAUUAUAAAUUUGUUCCUAAAAAUAAGUGUAAAGUUAAUAUUGCCAAAGACUUAGAACUACAACUUUAUAGACACAUAGCGUUUACUAAGUGACUAUUAUAAGCGGUGUUAUGCGGUCCUCUAAUUAUGUAAUAAUAAAGCAGUACCUAUACAAUGUAGCAAAACAAUCACCAGAAGCCACCAAUAUUCAUUAUAUAAAUUUAUUAAUAUACAAUGCGUAUUAAAAUAUUCCGAGAGUAUUUAUAAAAUUUUCGUGUAAGUCAACUAUAAUAAAUAUUUAGAUAUUUUCA